rnacentral:lncRNA from 10 species
CAGGAAACUGUGAUUGAACCACUAUACUCCAGCCUGAGCAACAGAGCAAGACCCAGUCUCUAUAAAUGAAUGAAUGAAUGAAUGAAUGAAUGAAUGAAUGAAUGAAUGAAUAGCAAAGGAUGACACAGUCUUCCAUGCUGCACAACCACAGGGUGUUCCAUUUACAUAGUCUCCCUAGAGUUGGUUGACUUAGUGACCCUGAAACCCCAACUCUUCUACCUAUGGCAGACAUUGCUAAUCAAUCACAGGUCCUACUCAUCUCAGACGGCUCUCAGAAUCCUUCUCCACAUGGAAACCAAGACAACCCCUGCUGAUUCCUCACAGCUGACUUGUGACAUGCCUAGUAUUUCCC